GCCCCAUCAUACUGGGCAACUUCUUCCCCAAGCAGAAACACCUUCUCAUCUCUUUCCAGCUCCUCAUCCAUACCUUGGUUUAUAGCUUCACGAACUGUCACCUGUCACAGGGAUGGGAAAAACACGUCUAAACUCCAUUCA